AUGUCAUCCCGUGAGGUGACGAAGACGCAGAAAUAUAUGAAAUUCUUUAAGAAUGAGAUAAUCCUCUUUUUAAAGAAGUCUACUCUGAGAGCCUAUUGCUGUA
rnacentral:sRNA from 18 species